rnacentral:rRNA from 1 species
GACGAACGCUGGCGGCGUGCUUAACACAUGCAAGUCGAACGGAAAGGCCCUGCUUUUUUGGUGUGCUCGAGUGGCGAACGGGUGAGUAACACGUGAGUAACCUGCCCUUGACUUUGGUAUAACUUCAGGAAACUGGGGCUACUCCCGUAUAGGAUCUCCUGCUGCAUGGUGGGGGUUGGAUCGUUUCGGCGGUUGGGGAUGGACUCGCGGCUUAUCAGCUUGUUGGUGGGGUAGUGGCUUACCCAGGCUUUGACGGGUAGCCGGCCUGAGAGGGUGACCGGGGACAUUGGGACUGAGAGACGGCCCAGACUCCUACGGGAGGCAGCAGUGGGGAAUAUUGCACAAUGGGAGGAAGCCUGAGGCAGAAACGCCGCGUGCGGGAUGACGGCCUUCGGGUUGUAAACCGCUUUCGCCUGUGACGAAGCGUGAGUGACGGUAAUGGGUAAAGAAGCACCGGCUAACUACGUG